rnacentral:rRNA from 1 species
CCGGCGACCGGCGCACGGGUGAGUAACACGUAUGCAACCUGGCCGUGACAGAUGGAUAACCGGGAGAAAUCCCGCCUAAUACAGCAUGACGCCGGGAAGGGACAUCCCUUUCCGGCCAAAGGGGGCGACUCCGGUCACGGAUGGGCAUGCGUGACAUUAGCUUGUUGGCGGGGUAACGGCCCACCAAGGCGACGAUGUCUAGGGGUUCUGAGAGGAAGGUCCCCCACACUGGUACUGAGACACGGACCAGACUCCUACGGGAGGCAGCAG